AGCCAAACAACAUACAAAGAAACAACACCAUCACAAUUACCUCCGACAUCGCAACCAACUAGAGAAACAACACCACGACCAACAUCAAAAGACAGACCAACAACCAAGAAAACAAAUACCAAUGAAGAAAAGACAAAUUCUGCCCCUAAUACCCCAACAACACACAUACCAUACAAAACAACGACACUUUCUACAA